GAUGAACGCUGGCGGCGUGCUUAACACAUGCAAGUCGAACGGAAAGGCCCAAGCUUGCUUGGGUACUCGAGUGGCGAACGGGUGAGUAACACGUGGGUGAUCUGCCCUGCACUUCGGGAUAAGCCUGGGAAACUGGGUCUAAUACCGGAUAGGACCACAUUUUGGAUGGUGUGGUGGAAAGUUUUUCGGUGUGGGAUGAGCUCGCGGCCUAUCAGCUUGUUGGUGGGGUAAUGGCCUACCAAGGCGUCGACGGGUAGCCGGCCUGAGAGGGUGUACGGCCACAUUGGGACUGGGAUACGGCCCAGACUCCUACGGGAGGCAGCAGUGGGGAAGAUUGCACAAUGGGCGCAAGCCUGAUGCAGCGACGCCGCGUGGGGGAUGACGGCCUUCGGGUUGGAAACUCCUUUCGCUAGGGACGAAGCGUUAUGUGACGGUACCUGGAGAAGAAGCACCGGCUAACUACGUG
rnacentral:rRNA from 1 species